UGUGGGUGAUGAUGAGCAAUAGUGUGGAUUCUAUAUUAAUAGUUUAAUGUGUUGUGUCACUGAACAACUGCACUGAUGCACUCCGUUUCUUGCAUUUGUCUGAAGCUGCUUCCAGUUUAGGCUUCACCCUUUUGAUAAGGCAGGAUUCAAUCAGAGCUAUUUUUAUUUUAAGUUUUCAUUUUUGUUAUGUUUGGGAACAAAGUCAACUUUUUCUGAUUUGCAACCAUUCCUAACGACAUUUCAAGCUCACACGUAUCUCUGGAUGGGAUUCUUAAUAUGCCUUUAAUUGAAUUAUCAUAACUCAAUAAAUAAAGCUUUAAAUAUUUCCUUUUUAAUUGUGAAUGGAUGGGUUUAGAUUGUGAUCUGCCAUUGAGUGUAAAAUAGAUUUUUCAAACUGCUCCCUUGGAAAAACAGAAACCUGCAGAAUGUUAUUUGUAACAUUUUAAUGAAGUAUACAAAGUGCUGCAAUGUUCAUCUCCACUGCUGAACUUAAAAAUAAAAGCUGGGGGGGAAAUACACAGCAUGCAACAUAGCAUAUGGCUAGUAUGAACUCCAAUGUAGAGGUAGUGAUCUACUUUGGGUUUUUGUUUUACAAUAACAUUACAAAAGGUGGCACAGUGACUUUACUUCCUUCAGUCCAGCAUUAGGUAGGUCUGCAAAGGAAGACUUAAUAUGCAAACCAAGACUCUAAGUUUUAUCUCGGGACAUCCAGGACUUAAGCACAAUAAGUGGUAAUUUACAUGUUGAAUGGAACGGAAAUAAAUAGUCUGCUCUUUUUUGGUUACAAAUGUACAAUAAAUACAAAAAUAUUCA